ACUCCUACGGGAGGCAGCAGUGGGGAAUAUUGCACAAUGGGCGCAAGCCUGAUGCAGCCAUGCCGCGUGUAUGAAGAAGGCCUUCGGGUUGUAAAGUACUUUCAGCAGUGAGGAAGGCGGGUAUGUUAAUAGCAUGCUUGUUUGACGUUAGCUGCAGAAGAAGCACCGGCUAACUCCGUGCCAGCAGCCGCGGUAAUACGGAGGGUGCGAGCGUUAAUCGGAAUUACUGGGCGUAAAGCGCAUGCAGGUGGUUUGUUAAGUCAGAUGUGAAAGCCCGGGGCUCAACCUCGGAAUUGCAUUUGAAACUGGCAGACUAGAGUACUGUAGAGGGGGGUAGAAUUUCAGGUGUAGCGGUGAAAUGCGUAGAGAUCUGAAGGAAUACCGGUGGCGAAGGCGGCCCCCUGGACAGAUACUGACACUCAGAUGCGAAAGCGUGGGGAGCAAACAGGAUUAGAUA
rnacentral:rRNA from 1 species